rnacentral:rRNA from 1 species
UACGAAGGGGGCUAGCGUUGCUCGGAAUUACUGGGCGUAAAGCGCGCGUAGGCGGAUCGUUAAGUCGGGGGUGAAAUCCUGGAGCUCAACUCCAGAACUGCCUUUGAUACUGGCGAUCUUGAGUUCGGGAGAGGUGAGUGGAACUGCGAGUGUAGAGGUGAAAUUCGUAGAUAUUCGCAAGAACACCAGUGGCGAAGGCGGCUCACUGGCCCGAUACUGACGCUGAGGCACGAAAGCGUGGGGAGCAAACAGG